GCACAAGCGGUGGAGCAUGUGGUUUAAUUCGAUGCAACGCGAAGAACCUUACCUGGCCUUGACAUGUCUGGAAUCCUGCAGAGAUGCGGGAGUGCCUUCGGGAAUCAGAACACAGGUGCUGCAUGGCUGUCGUCAGCUCGUGUCGUGAGAUGUUGGGUUAAGUCCCGCAACGAGCGCAACCCUUGUCCUUAGUUGCCAGCACGUAAUGGUGGGAACUCUAAGGAGACUGCCGGUGACAAACCGGAGGAAGGUGUGGAUGACGUCAAGUCAUCAUGGCCCUUACGGCCAGGGCUACACACGUACUACAAUGGUCGGUACAGAGGGUUGCAAUACCGCGAGGUGGAGCCAAUCCCAUAAAGCCGAUCCCAGUCCGGAUCGAAGUCUGCAACUCGACUUCGUGAAGUCGGAAUCGCUAGUAAUCGCAGAUCAGCUAUGCUGCGGUGAAUACGUUCCCGGGC
rnacentral:rRNA from 1 species